rnacentral:lncRNA from 1 species
GAAAAGUAGGCUAAGGUUCAGAGUCAAUACGAUAAUUAUAUUUACUAAGCUCAUUUUUUAUAAAUUAGUGCUAGAAUUCUUUCUUGAACUCGUCCUUUAGGAUCAACUAUUAUCGAGGAUUCAACUUUUGGAUUUGUCUUUAUUUUCAAUAUCUGCUAACUUCUCCUUCUUUCGAGUGCCCUGAUGAUUAUUUUUCUUUUACUUUUUAUUUAUUUAAUUUUUCAAAUUUUCAUCUUUUCUUUUUCAUCUCUUUUAUUUUCUUCAAUCAUCAGGUUCCCUCAUUUG